rnacentral:rRNA from 1 species
UACGGGGGGUGCGAGCGUUGUCCGGAAUCACUGGGCGUAAAGGGCGCGUAGGUGGUUUGAUAAGGGUGUGGUGAAAGUCCGGGGCUCAACCCCGGAUCUGCCGUGCCGACUGUCAAGCUCGAGGGCUGUAGAGGCAGACGGAAUUCCGGGUGUAGCGGUGGAAUGCGUAGAGAUCCGGAGGAAGACCGGUGGCGAAGGCGGUCUGCUGGGCAGUUUCUGACACUGAUGCGCGACAGCGUGGGGAGCAAACAGG